CCUCACCAUUGAUUGGUGUGGAAAACUUGACCUUUACGUGGUAUCAGAGUAAGACGAUCAUGGCUACAUCAAGUACCUCUUCCUCUGCUGCCACCACCACUACCAACACACCACUGAAUUCUCUUCCUUCUCCCAUCCCAUCCAACAUUAGCCAAGUCCAUCCGUAUAUCUCUUUUAAACUUACCUCUACUAAUUACCUACUAUAGAAAAUCCAAUCUUUACCUAUGUUAAGAAGCUUUAACUGAUCUCAUGGGCUUCAUCGAUGGCAUCGAUUUUUACCCUUCCAAAACACUUCUCGCUACACCU
rnacentral:lncRNA from 1 species